AUGUCAGGGUGGCGCGCAUGCGCGCGCCGGGUGAGGGACACCCGGGUCCCACGGCUCCGUGGGCCUCGUCGUCUAUCUCCAGCGGGGGGAGGGGGCGAUCGCCGAGGGAGCGGGACCAGACGAGGUGGUGGCGAAUGCGGCAUCCUGGGCUCAGAGCCAGUGGCACCGGCUCCAGCACCUACGCCGCUCCGGCCAGCGUCCCAGGGAUAUAGCUUCGGACAGAGGGCUGAGGGGACAGAGCGCUCCUCAAGUGGUGGCAUGAAGGCUAGUGGCCCCGCGCUGUUCCAGACAGGGACGCUUCUGGUGAGGCGUGCUCUCGCGGCCACGAUGAAUUUCCUGAACGCUUUUUCUCGCUUCUCUUCCUCCUCUGGCUCCGCGGGACCGGAGCGCUCGAGCGACGCGCGGCCCAGGGUGCAUCGGGGAGGGGGACGCGGAGAAGGAUGGCCAGUGCGGAAUCGCCGCGCGCGCCACCUGCGAGGGGCUAGCCCGGGCUCAAAUCAGCACGAGGACCAGAGCGCGUGGUGUGAGCAGCUGGAGCACACCCCGAGCACCGGCGCUUCAACGGGAACACUAGGUGAGUCUGAAUAGAUCUGUGAGGAUGGAAAAGAAGAGCUCAUGGAAGACCAUUUUGCUACAGGGAUAGGCCUUGGCCAUGUAAAAGUGCUUACAGUGCAGGUAGCUUUUUGAGAUCUACUGCAAUGCAAGCACUUCUUACAUUA